rnacentral:misc_RNA from 1 species
CACGCACGCCGAUGAAAUUUACUAAGGCGAAAGUGUGCCAUGCUCAGGGAGUGCUCGUGACGAACUCUCGCUCACAAGCCCAGUACCCUUUUUUUUUGCGUCCCGAGCCAGCAGCCGAGUGUGCACCCAAUGCCUGCUAGGAAAGGACACACCCACAAAAAGAAUCUAUAUACACAUCUACAUAUAUGUAUACAUGUAUACGUUUCUUUGUUUUCCGUUGUCUUGUUUUUAUUCUUGUAAGCUUUUCUCUGCACGCGACGGUGCGACGAGAUAGGUGAGGGGGUGGGGUGGUGGCGGUGGGGCGGUCGAAUUUACUUUUUUUUCUUCCGUGCAGAGACGAUGUCUCUGUUCGACCUGUAACUGCUCCUUCAGGUCUCCAUAUUCUUUGAGAAAUCCCCCCUCCUCUGCCACCUCAUAAACCCCUCCCUCUGAUUAUUUCCGCUGUUCGUGCCAUCAAAGUAAGCUUCCACCCCUUCCCACGCUCAUCCGACCAGCUUCUUGUCUCCAACCAAGGAGCCGGAAAGCUGGAAGGACCGUUUGCCCUGCACUCUCGUCGGUACCCGUGUCCUGGUGUGCUCGGGUACGGACGCGCUUGUGUAAAGGCGUGCUCGAUACCGGCCCGUGUGGCCCCGUGGUGUAGGGGGCAGGGCCGCAGACGUGAAGUCUGAUCGACGGAGACGAAUAUAUGCUGAGCCGCUCUUGCCCUCCGUGUGACUUUUUCUCUCUUCCCGCUCUGUUUCUCUCUGACGCUGGCGAGCGGACGGAAAUGCUGGCAUCUAAACACAG